UACAGAGGGUGCGAGCGUUAAUCGGAAUUACUGGGCGUAAAGCGUGCGUAGACGGUUACAUAAGUCAGAUGUGAAAGCCCCGGGCUCAACCUAGGAAUUGCGCUUGAGACUGGAUAGCUUGGAGUGCGGCAGAGGGAGGUGGAAUUCCACGUGUAGCAGUGAAAUGCGUAGAGAUGUGGAGGAACACCGAUGGCGAAGGCAGCCUCCUGGGCCAGCACUGACGCUCAUGCACGAAAGCGUGGGGAGCAAACAGG
rnacentral:rRNA from 1 species